GUGGAUUAGAUACCCUGGUAGUCCACGCCGUAAACGAUGUUCACUAGGUGUUGGGGGUAUUGACCCCCUCAGUGCCGGAGCUAACGCAUUAAGUGAACCGCCUGGGGAGUACGGUCGCAAGACUAAAACUCAAAGGAAUUGACGGGGGCCCGCACAAGCGGUGGAGCAUGUGGUUUAAUUCGAUGCAACGCGAAGAACCUUACCUGGGCUUGACAUCCCGGGAAUCUCCUGGAAACAGGGGAGUGCCCUUCGGGGAACCCGGUGACAGGUGCUGCACGGUGGUCGCCAGCU
rnacentral:rRNA from 1 species